rnacentral:tRNA from 1 species
GUAGUAUGGUGGUUGCCUGUAAUUGAUUUGAAGUCAUUUUUUUCUUCCGGCGGGGAGAUACUUGCU